AGAAAACCGCAGUUGUGUGCCCUUCGACGGCGGCGGCGGCGGCAGCGGCAGCGAUGGACAAGGCCGUAAUCUUUACGGAUUAUCGUUUCCUCUUUGACGCUAUCGCCAGGGCGUUCGUCGAACGCUACCACCGGACGUUCGCCCAUUGAACAGACUAUGAAGAGCUCCCCUUUGAUGAUGUCGGCAGCGAUGGACUGGUGCGCGACAAAGAGGAAACGGUAAUCCAUAAUAUUUACGCAUUCCCUUGUCCACUUGCUCGCCCACUUAACAGAGACUAGAAAGAGCUCCUCUUUAACUGCGUCGGCAGCGAUUGACAGCCAAUCACGUUUACAACAACAAGGUUGCGGCUUCGUACAGUGGCUACAAGGGUGGUCUCAGGUUAUGGACUAAAGACAGCAACUCAUUCAAUGAACCCCUUGACCAUGCCCAUUAAUCGGACCGUAGUACGGUUGCGGCUCAUAAAUCGUGUUUAGUAUCAUAAUAAAUUUAUGUCAUAGAUCUAUUACAAAUGUUGUAUGCCAUGGUACAUGGUUAUGACUCUUUAUCCCAAUGUGAUUGGAUGAUUGUGUGUAUGAAUGUUGUAAUUCAUAAUA